GAUGAACGCUAGCGACAGGCUUAACACAUGCAAGUCGAGGGGCAGCACGGGAGUAGCAAUACAACUGGUGGCGACCGGCGCACGGGUGAGUAACGCGUAUGCAACCUACCUAUCAGAGGGGAAUAACCCGGCGAAAGUCGGACUAAUACCGCAUAUAACAGGGGCACCGCAUGGUGAUAUUUGUUAAAGAAAUUCGCUGAUAGAUGGGCAUGCGUUCCAUUAGGUAGUUGGUGAGGUAACGGCUCACCAAGCCGACGAUGGAUAGGGGAACUGAGAGGUUGGUCCCCCACACUGGUACUGAGACACGGACCAGACUCCUACGGGAGGCAGCAGUGAGGAAUAUUGGUCAAUGGGCGGGAGCCUGAACCAGCCAAGUCGCGUGAAGGAAGAAGGAUCUAUGGUUCGUAAACUUCUUUUGCAGGGGAAUAAAGUGCAGGACGUGGUCCUGUUUUGUAUGUACCCUGAGAAUAAGGAUCGGCUAACUCCGUGCCAGCAGCCG
rnacentral:rRNA from 1 species